AUGCCAGCCGAUGCCAGACCUUGCCAGAACUUCCCACCCCUUGCCAACCAUUGCCAGCCCAUGCCACACUUUGCCAGUCCAUGCCAGCCAAUGGCGGCCCAUGCCAACCCAUGUCAGACCUUGCCAGACAUUGCCACCCAAUGCCAGCCCAUGCCAGCCGAUGGUGGGCCAUGCCAGCCCACGGCAGGCCAUGCCAGACCUUGUGAGCCCAUGCCAGACCAUUCCAGACCUUGCCAGUCUUUGCCAUCCCUUGCCAGCACAUGCCAGCCCAUGCCAGCCAAUGCCGGCCCACUCAAGCCCAUGCCAGACCUUGCCGGCCCAUGCCAGAACCUACCGGUCCUUGCAAGCCCUUGCCCGCCAUGCCAGCUCAUGGAUGCCCAUGCCAGCCUAUGCCGGCCUUUGCCAACCCUUGCCAUCCCACGACAUACUUUGGCAGACCUUGCCAGUCCUUGCUCGCCUUUGUCAGCCGUAAGCAGCCCUUCCCAGCCUAGCCAGACCUAACCAGACCUUGCCAGACCUCACCAGGACUUGCCAGCUAAUGCCAUACUUUGCCAGACCUUACGAGCCCUUGCCAACCCCCUUACCAGCCCUUUCCGGCCCAUGCCACACCUUCCCAGCCCUUGCCGGCCCAUGGCAGGCCUUGCUAGCUCUAGCCAUCCCUUGCCAGCUCUAGCCAUCCUUUGCCAGCCGAUGUCAGACCUUGCCAGCCCAUGCCACACUUUGCCAGCCCAUACCACACUUCACCAGACCUUGCCAGCCCUUGAAAGCGUAUAUGCCAGCUCAUAUCAGCCCAUGCGAGACCUUGCCAGUCCUUGCAAGUCCAUGCGAGCCCAUGCCAGACCUUGCCGGCCCAUGCCACACUUUGCCAGCCAUACCACACUUCACCAGACCUUGCCAGCCCUUGAAAGCGUAUAUGCCAGCUCAUAUCAGCCCAUGCGAGACCUUGCCAGUCCUUGCAAGUCCAUGCGAGCCCAUGCCAGACCUUGCCGGCCGGCCCUUGCCAGACCUUGCCAGCCCAUGCCAGCUCAUGCAAGCCCAUGCCAUAUGACCAUUUUCUCGUGUUGGCGAAAACGCUGACUGUCCGGAUACUUGUAUUUUUUGCAUGGCUGCGAUAAUUGAAGGGAAAAUGAAAAGAACCCUGGAUCAAUAUACUAAUAUCAUUGUAAGAAUAAGUACGAUAUGCUAUGUUUUACGUGUACUUUAUUAUGUAAUACCUCUCUGCUCACAUUUCAGUUUUUGUAGUCGGUGAGAUAAUAAACUUUUUGAACUGCAUCGGCAUGCUUGUACUCUGUACCUGCUUUUGACCAAUAAAAGAAUAUAUAUAUACACAUACAUUUCAGUUGAAUUCUGCAUAAUGAUCGAAUUCAAUUUUUUGGCAGGUUAUCUAUAGACCUCAGCGCCAUUUUCAAGCGACCCUCGAUUGUUGAAAAACUUGUAAAUGGACUCCGUCACUCUAACAAGGGAAACCAUAGACAGUUUAUUCCGUAGGUACCUCGAUUGCGAAAGAUUAUAUCGCAAAAUUCUAAAAUACCCGAAGCUUUCAUACAAAGUUUUCCACGAAAAUUGGAUUGGAAAUCCAUCGUAAGAUAUAAAAAAUUAGAUCCGAAGUAGCAUAUUGUCAUCUACUUUCUAGGUGGCGCUAUCAUUAAGAAAAUGUCUACUUUCUAGAUAGAACAAUUUUCUUGAAGAAAAAUAGGUAUAAAGUAGAUCUAGAAAUAGACACAAGAAAAUACAUUUUUCCUUGCAUUUUCUUAAAAGAAAACAUUAUAGGUAAGAAAUUGGCUAGAAAAUAAUUCUACUUUCAAUAAAUUUUCUAUCUUUUUUCCAAACGGAAAGUUAACAGACAGUAGAUCUAUGAAAUAUCUAUUUUCUUUGGUCAGACUUUUGACUAGCAAUCCCGCCCGGCAAAACGUGUGCAAAAACGUUGAAAAAACAUCAUGUGACAACGUCCUGUCCAUUAAUAACGUUGCUACAACCCUGUGACGACGUUUUUUUCACACGUUUUGCCGGGCGGGAUGUUUUUUCUUUCUAUUUUCAAGAUACCUAAGUGACUCUCAUUUUUUUGGUAUUUUCUAGAAGUUUUCUUAAUAUUUUUUUUCUAGGAAAAAAAUCUAAUUUGCUACUUGGGAUAUUGAAUUUCUCAGAAAUAAUUUAUCUUCCUCGAAUCGGCACUGCGAUUUGAUUUCAGGAUAUCAAUUUUACUUAGAUGAAUCGGCAAUCAGGGCCGGAUUUACCUACCUACUUGCCGCCCAUGGGCCGCCUGUAUUUUGCCGCCCCCUUCUCAUUCGUUUUGAAACAUCAAUAAAAACCAUCAAGUGAACCUGCCGGAGGGGGAGGAGCGCAAAAGAUGCGUUUACUCGUAUAUUGGACACAUUUUUUGCGAAAGCCCUGUCAAAACUACUAGCAAAAGUUCACAAAACUUUGUGUGAAAGUUAAGUUCCGUAACCGUAUCCCUGUGUGGACAAGGCCUUCCAUUUAAAAUAAAUGGACGAACAAAUUAUGAAAGAACAAAUAUAAAUGUGGUUUGAUAAUUUUAACUACCGCCGCCGCCGCGCCCGCCGCGCUGACCGCACUGUGCGUUUGCCGCAAUGCGUAAAGUAUUCCUACAGUCUUGUAGGCGCUAUGCAUUUCACGCUGACCGCUGCUGAACGCACUGUGUUUGACGCAAUGCGUGAAGUAUUUAUGCAGUCUUGUAGGCGCUAAUAUGUGUUACAUGCCAACCGCCCGCCGCGCCGAAAGCUUUUCUAUUUAUCUUAAGUCCUCGUCACUAGGGUAGGUGGGGUAAGAGUACGCAUUUUUUGGUUUUUUUCCGUAUUUUCGUGACCGAAUCGACUUUUAAGGCGGGAAAAGUAGUCAGGCGCCUACUGCAAGCCCUCGCACACAAAUUCUCUGCGUUAACGGAAUUUAGAAAUAAAAUCGAUGGCCGUGACGAAUUUUUUAAAAAAAUUUGAAAAUGCGUACUUUGCCCCAUUUGAUGGGGCAAAGUACGCAGGUGAAAUUUUUCUUUUAAAAACAUCUCCUGGGCUCCUAAUCGCUGUUAAAUCCCGGAAAACAACUGAAACUGGUCUCAAAGGGUGCCAAUAGUGCCGAACCACUUUUACUGUGAAAAAAAACAAAAUUCAGUCUCCACAAGCUCCCAAAAAUUUUCGAAGUCAACUUUUUUUAACAGAAAAAUAAAAAAGUUUAAUUGCCCAAUUUAAACAAAGGAACAUAAAAAUUUAUUAAGAUACUUACUAAAUUGCCUACAGCUUCUAUUUUGAAGUUCCUAUACCCCCCUCCCCCACUGCGCCCCACUUUGGGCGCGUACUUUUGCCCCAUUACUGUCUGCGUACUCUUGCCCCAUUUGUAAACAUUGGACAACAUAAACUAAAACUUUGAGCCCAAGGCCCAAGGUGUGAAAACAACCACGGAUUAUCAAAGCCAACACUAUAACACUUACAUACAGUGCCUUUCAGAUUUUCUCCAUCUACUAUUUUACUCACAACAGACAAUACUAAUACUAAAAAAAUCGAUCUUUUUCGCAUGAAAAGUGAACUUGCCUCAUCAUUCCGUCAAAACACAUCCACUUCACAUAAAACUUCUUCAACAAGUGAAACUCAAUGUUGCCAACAAUCAACACCGGUGCCAUCAUUAAUUCAGUCAAAGCACGCGAAAAAAGUGCGGUGCGUACUUUUACCCCGUGCGUACUCUUACCCCCACCUACCCUAAUGCUCUCUGCACCGCGCCGCUCCAGCCAAAAUGCGUGCUUGGUUUCUCUCCUAACUCGACUAAUUGAAGGUACUUCCUCUUGUAUCACCGAAAGACGACAAAAGUAUAAAUUACUAUACUUACUCUCAGGAAAUGAGAGAUUUUGUUGCCUUUUCUCGUUUGUAAUUUUUUUCUGAUUUUUUUAUACUUACCUACAUUAAAAAAAAAAAUUGCAAAAAAGUUGCCGCCCCCUAAAUUUGCCGCCAUGGGCCGCGGCCCAUGAUGUGGCCACCCCCUAAAUCCGGCCCUGUCGGCAACGAGAGAAUUCGCAAAGCUUAUCUCUUGGGAUCUUGUCAGUAAAUAUCAGAAAAUGAUAACUAAAUUCAUGUAAGAAUUAAAACAUCGAGUGAAUUGGGAUAAUUUGAGGGACUAUCAAAAUGUACCAGAGGCAUUUAUUCAGGAAAUGCCUCCUAGAAAAUUGGAACACAAAGAAACACUGAUGUAAAAACUUAGUAAAGUUUAAAAGUGUAAAAUUUGAAAGUGAUUUUCACACACCAAAAAAAAAUUUUAAAAAAAAACACGUCAGAAAGUACGUCUUCUGUUUUGGAGCACUUGCUUAAAAUAAUCUUGUACGGUACCCUCACUUUUCCACCUUGUUAUUCUAGCUAUUAGGUAGAUAUUGAGGUAUAAAUCGGUAUGAACUUACAGGUCUGCUCUAAUUCGGAAUCCUGCUGGAACGAUGAGUUAUGCUCGCACUUCCUUAGUCAGGCUUCAUCCAAUACCACCUUUCAUCUCCGAUUCGAGGUCGAGUACCUACCUUGCGAUUGAGGGUAGUACGCAACUUUCGGAGUAAGCAUAGCUCUCAAAAUUUAAGUGGCGUAAAUCUUAGUAACUAUUAACAAGGAUAAAAUAAUAAUAAGUCGCAUUCCGGGUGAUGUGCAGUGUAAAUGGAAACGCGUCGGAAAUGAAUAAUCUGAGUUUUCUCCUCUUCUGACUAGCGAGUUUGACGUUUCUACCUAAUAUUUUGAUAAUAUACUUUUGUGUUUGUUGACAGUCUGGUUGUUUUAAAGAAUUUUAAAUCUAUGAAAAUAAUACUUAAAAUAUUAUAGAAUAUAAGUUGGGACCGACGAAAGAUCGUUAUCGCUACGCUUGUCAACCUUACACUGUAUUGGAAGAGUCGUCAGUUGAAAUGUGGUUGUCAGAAACUUGCUAAAAGUUUCUGUCUGAGAGGUUUUUUUUAUGAUUAUUAAAAGCCAGAUGGUUCAAAUGGAAUGAGCCUCAGAGUUCUCUUUUAAAAACGUACCUAUUCGCAUGAUGAGUUACUGCGCACGGUACGGUCUAAUGAGUCACAGAACUCGAAACAACGCAGCGCGGUAUGACGUCAAGGUCGUGGCUUGUAGUCGACAGACUCACGCAAUCCUUCCACUAUGAUCUCGCAAAAAAAAAAAAAAACACACGGAGCUUCACCGCUCGACGCGACAUCGCGUUGAAUAAAUCAUUUCGUUCUUAGAUGGUCUCGUCAUCA
rnacentral:lncRNA from 1 species